rnacentral:rRNA from 1 species
UGGGGAAUUUUGGACAAUGGGCGCAAGCCUGAUCCAGCCAUGCCGCGUGCGGGAAGAAGGCCUUCGGGUUGUAAACCGCUUUUGUCAGGGAAGAAAUCUUCUGAGUUAAUACCUCGGGAGGAUGACGGUACCUGAAGAAUAAGCACCGGCUAACUACGUGCCAGCAGCCGCGGUAAUACGUAGGGUGCAAGCGUUAAUCGGAAUUACUGGGCGUAAAGCGUGCGCAGGCGGUUUUGUAAGACAGAGGUGAAAUCCCCGGCUCAACCUGGGAACUGCCUUUGUGACUGCAAGGCUUGAGUGCGGCAGAGGGGGAUGGAAUUCCGCGUGUAGCAGUGAAAUGCGUAGAUAUGCGGAGGAACACCGAUGGCGAAGGCAAAUCCCCUGGGCCUGCACUGACGCUCAUGCACGAAAAGCGUGGGGAGCAAAACAGGAUUAGAUACCCUGGUAGUCCACGCCCUAAAACGAUGUCAACUGGUUGUUGGGAAGGUUCCUUCUCAGUAACGUAGCUAACGCGUGAAAGUUGACCGCCUGGGGAGUACGGCCGCAAGGUUGAAACUUAAAUGAAUUGACGGGGUCUAGCUGUUUCCUG